rnacentral:rRNA from 1 species
CCCUUAGAUGUUCUGGGCCGCACGCGUGCUACACUGAGUGGAUCAGCGGGUCAGGUUGCGCGAAAGCGUUUCCUAAUCUUUAAAUCCGCUCGUGAUGGGGAUUGACGGUUGCAAUUUUCUGUCAUGAACGAGGAAUACCUUGUAAGCGCAGGUCAUCAUCCCGCGCUGAAUACGUCCCUGCCCUUUGUACACACCGCCCGUCGCUCCUACCGAUUGAGUGGUCCGGUGAGGCUUUGGGAUCUGAGCGGAAAGAGCGUUUCGCUGUUUCUGCCCGGAAAACUCAGUCGAACCUUAUCAAUUAGAGGAAGGAGAAGUCGUAACA